AGUGAACGUUGGCGGCGUGGAUUAGGCAUGCAAGUCGAGCGAGAACCGUAGCAAUACGGGGACAGCGGCGAAAGGGACAGUAAUGUGUAGGUACCUACCUCCGGGUUCGGGAUAGCUGCGGGAAACUGCAGGUAAUACCGAAUAACGUCUCCGGACCAAAGGUGUGAUUCCACCUGGAGAGGGGCCUGCAUCCUAUUAGCUAGUUGGGGAGGUAACGGCUCACCAAGGCGACGAUGGGUAGCGGGUGUGAGAGCACGACCCGCGUCAUUGGGACUGAGACACUGCCCAGACACCUACGGGUGGCUGCAGUCGAGGAUCUUCGGCAAUGGGCGCAAGCCUGACCGAGCGACGCCGCGUGCGGGAUGAAGGCCUUCGGGUUGUAAACCGCUGUCGUAGAGGAGGAAAUGCAGGGGGGUUCUCCCCUCUGUUUGACCUAUUCUAGGAGGAAGGACGGGCUAAGUUCGUGCCAGCAGCCGCCGUAA
rnacentral:rRNA from 1 species